CCCUUAGAUGUUCUGGGCUGCACGCGUGCUACACUGAUUAUUUCAACAAGUGUUUUAACUGGAGAGUUUGCGUAAUCCUGAGAUGUUAUCGUGAUGGGAGUAGAGUAUUGUAUUUGUUAAUCUUUAACGAGGAAUUCCUAGUAAGUGUAGGUUUAUAAGUUGUUCUGAUUACGUCCCUGCCCUUUGUACACACCGCCCGUCGCUCCUACCGAUUGAUUGAUCCGGUGAAUUACAUAGAAUUUUGCGUUUUACAUGACGGAAGACGAAGUGUUUUAAACCUUAUCAUUUAGAGGAAGGAGAAGUCGUAACA
rnacentral:rRNA from 1 species